rnacentral:rRNA from 1 species
AUUGAACGCUGGCGGCGUGCCUAACACAUGCAAGUCGAACGGAGUGGCGCACGGGUGAGUAAUGUAUAGCUAAUCUGCCCUACAAUAGAGGACAACAACUGGAGACGACUGCUAAUACUCUAUAGUGUAGGAUGAGGGUAUAGUGUAUCAGCUAGCUGGUGAGGUAAUGGAUCACCAAGGCUAUGACGCAUAACUGGUCUGAGAGGAUGAUGAGUCACACUGGAACGGAGGCACGGUCCGGGCUCCUUCGGGAGUCAGCAGGAGUGGAUAUUGCUCAGUGGGGGAAGCCCUGAAGCUGCAUCGCCGCGUGGAGGAUGUCACUUUUGGUGGCGUAUAGUCCGUUUGUUAGGGAAGCGGUACCUAACGAAUAAGCACCGGCUAACUCCGUGCCAGCCGCCGCGGUAAUAC